GGGGGUAUAGUUCAGUGGUAGAGCAUUCGACUGCAGAUCGAGAGGUCUUAGGUUUAAACCUGGGUGCCCCUU